ACAAGCGGUGGAGCGAUGUGGUUUAAUUCGAAGCAACGCGAAGAACCUUACCAGGCCUUGACAUGCAGAGAACUUCCAGAGAUGGAUUGGUGCCUUCGGGAACUCUGACACAGGUGCUGCAUGGCUGCGUUUUCAGCUCGUGUCGUGAGAUGUUGGGUUAAGUCCCGUAACGAGCGCAACCCUUGUCCUUAGUUACCAGCACGUUAUGGUGGGCACUCUAAGGAGACUGCCGGUGACAAACCGGAGGAAGGUGGGGAUGACGUCAAGUCAUCAUGGCCCUUACGGCCUGGGCUACACACGUGCUACAAUGGUCGGUACAAAGGGUUGCCAAGCCGCGAGGUGGAGCUAAUCCCAUAAAACCGAUCGUAGUCCGGAUCGCAGUCUGCAACUCGACUGCGUGAAGUCGGAAUCGCUAGUAAUCGUGAAUCAGAAUGUCACGGUGAAUACGUUCCCGGGCCUU
rnacentral:rRNA from 1 species